AGUGAACGCUGGCGGUAGGCCUAACACAUGCAAGUCGAACGGCAGCACAGUAAGAGCUUGACCUUACGGGUGGCGAGUGGCGGACGGGUGAGGAAUUCAUCUGAACCUACUUUUUCGUGGGGGAUAACGUAGGGAAACUUACGCUAAUACCGCAUACGACCUACGGGUGAAAGCAGGGGAUCUUCGUACCUUGCGCGCUUGAAUCAGCCGAUGUCGGAUUAGCUAGUUGGCGGGGUAAAGGCCCCCCCAGGCGACGAACCGUAGCUGGUCACAGAGGAUGAUCAGCCACACUGGAACGGAGACACGGUCCAGAGUCCUGAGGGACGGAGCAGAGGGGUAUAUUGGACAAUGGGGGGGAGCCUGAUCCAGCCAUACCGCGUGUGAUAAGAAGGCCCUGCGUUUGUGAAGCCCUUCUUUUGGGAAAGAAAAGCAGCAGGUUAAUACGCCGCGGUUCUGACGGUACCCAAAGAAGAAGCACCGGCUAACUUCGUG
rnacentral:rRNA from 1 species